CCCAGAUAAAGAGCCUGCAUUUCUGUACUUCAGUCAGUAGAUGUCACUGUUGUGUUUACUAAUCGGCAGGCGGUUGAGGCCUACUUUUCCCUUAAAAAAAAAAAAAAAAAAGGCUUCUCUCUGGUAAAUAAAUAAUGUUGCACUGGAAUAGUUUAGCAGAGUUUUAUUGUACAUAAACCUUGUUCAGCAUCUUCACAUGUAACACAGCGUAAUGACACUAACAUCUUGAAGGAUUUCUGGGCAGUGGAGUGUUAAACGGCCCCGGCAAGAGUGGCUCCCCCCACACACACUCACUGCCAGCCGAACCAAAUUGUACUUUAACUCCAGGAAAGAUGAAAUGCUGCCUCUCAUGAGGGUUGCUGUCUAUCCGGCAUCUCGCCGACAUUUAUGGAAGAAGAACUCGCCGUUGCAUGGCUUCCGCUCGACUGACAAGCUCUGAAAAACGCAAAGCAUAUCACGACUGUCAAGAGCAGCAAGUUCUGCUCUGAAACUGCACAGCAGGACCAGAUCUGAUCUUCAGCAUUAACUUGCAGUUCUGAAAAUGGGUAGGUGAAACAAUUCAGAGUGCCCUGCCCGGUCAGAACAGAACCAAUCCAGGUGACAUCAAACUCUCCCUGAAGGCAACACACGCACAUCAGUGCAGAAAACAACAGCACUUUGCAUCAUCAGCAAACAAGAGCAAGGUUUGAGAGCUUUCUGAAAGACAGUCCCAUGUUGGUUUUGGUAGCUUUGCUGUGGAAAUCCAGUCCAUGCUAAAACAGUCCACUGGAGUGAACCGUCGCAUGCGUCUUCAUCAUACAAUCAGAAAUGCAGACAAGAGCACGUCUUUGCUAGAAAGCAUCAUGGGGGGAAUUUGCACAUACAGUCAAUGCCAGGAGGUUUAGCCGAGGAGUACGGCAAACUGUUUUUCUUAAGUGUUACCAACCUAAGUGCUCCCAAAGAUUCCAAUAGAGUCUGUCACGGCGGAUCCGGCCCUCACAACGCAAGAUAAAAUGGCUCAUAAAAGUGCAGGCAAGUGAGCCCAUUUGUGUCUAUUAGAGAGAAAAGUUCCAGCAAGCCAGUCAUUGCUUGUCACUGUGGAGAUUCCUGCGGGAAUGCACUCUCUCCACCUGCGGCUAGCGCGUUAUUAUUUUACCUCCUUCCUUCUUUAUCCCUUUCUGUGAACUCAGAGGAGAAUGCAAGCUCUUCUUCUUUUGAAGAAGAGAAAUGUAUGUGUUUGCUCUUCUCUUAACAGCUAAAUUAGGCCGUGGACUGUGAGUGUGUAGGAUCCUGGAAACACGGAACAAAUGGAAUUAUUUGCCAGGACUUGUCUGAUCACACCGUUAUCUGGAUCUACAUUCCUUCUUUCAACUAGUAGGCCUAUAAGUACUGACAAGUAUAUAUGUUAUACUUAACUGCCAUUCUGUACUACAUUUAAAAACUACAUUUAAAAUAUAAUAAUGAUAAUAAUAAUAAUAAUAAUAAUAAUAAUAAUAAUAAU